GACGAACGCCGGCGGCGUGCUUAACACAUGCAAGUCGAGCGGUAAGGCCCUUUCGGGGGUACACGAGCGGCGAACGGGUGAGUAACACGUGGGUGACCUGCCCUCAGCUCUGGGAUAAGCCUGGGAAACCGGGUCUAAUACUGGAUAUGACUCCAUGACGCAUGUUGUGGGGUGGAAAGCCUUGUGCGGCUGAGGAUGGGGCCCGCGGCCUAUCAGCUUGUUGGUGGGGUGAUGGCCUACCAAGGCGACGACGGGUAGCCGGCCUGAGAGGGCGACCGGCCACACUGGGACUGAGACACGGCCCAGACUCCUACGGGAGGCAGCAGUGGGGAAUCUUGCGCAAUGGGCGAAAGCCUGACGCAGCGACGCCGCGUGAGGGAUGACGGCCU
rnacentral:rRNA from 1 species